GACACACUGCUCUGCUGCAUCAAUCCCAACCUUGGAAACUGGAAAAGUGUCUCCCAGAGGACACUGUGAAUUUCUGCCCCAUAGUCUCCCUUGGGAUCUCGCCUGGGUGGACCUAUACAUACUACCAAGGUCACCUACUCCAUCCUCAGUUGUACUUAAGAGACACACUGCUCUGCUGCAUCAAUCCCAACCUUGGAAACUGGAAAAGUGUCUCCCAGAGGACACUGUGAAUUUCUGCCCCAUAGUCUCCCUUGGGAUCUCGCCUGGGUGGACCUAUACAUACUACCAAGGUCACCUACUCCAUCCUCAGUUGUACUUAAGAGACACACUGCUCUGCUGCAUCAAUCCCAACCUUGGAAACUGGAAAAGUGUCUCCCAGAGGACACUGUGAAUGUAUGUACAUCUGCUGCCACUUGUUCUACCAUUGUAACUCCUGCUAUAUGAUACCAUUGUAAGCUAUCUCCCAGUCAGGUCAGCCAGCAGCCUAAACACUUUUCAUUUUCUUCCUCUCAUCUUUAACUGAGUUCUUUCCCUGCUCCUCUUUACUUCAUCCUACCUAGUCCAAGACCUUCCUAGUUGACCCAGUGCAACUCUCCACUAGGCCACUAGAGGGCGGCCCCUCCCUACUAUACACUACUGUUCCUCACUCAUUCUCUACUCAAUCUCACUUUUGUCCCCUCUACCUCUUAGGUACAGGAACCCUGCUUACCCUGCUACUACUUACUCUCCUGUAUCCUAUGCUCCACUGAUUGACUCUCGGUCCUCUCCUGGUCUUCUACA